rnacentral:rRNA from 1 species
UACGGGGGGAGCAAGCGUUGUUCGGAUUUACUGGGCGUAAAGGGCGCGUAGGCGGCCACCGCAAGUCGGUUGUGAAAUCUCCGGGCUUAACCCGGAAAGGUCAACCGAUACUGCGGGGCUAGAGUGCAGAAGGGGCAACUGGAAUUCUCGGUGUAGCGGUGAAAUGCGUAGAUAUCGAGAGGAACACCUGCGGCGAAGGCGGGUUGCUGGGCUGACACUGACGCUGAUGCGCGAAAGCUAGGGGAGCGAACCGG